UCCGUAGGCGGGCGAUUAAGUCAGGGGUGAAAUCCCACAGCUCAACUGUGGAACUGCCUUUGAUACUGGUUGUCUUGAGUUACAGUGAAGUAGAUAGAAUAUGUAGUGUAGCGGUGAAAUGCAUAGAUAUUACAUAGAAUACCGAUUGCGAAGGCAGUCUACUAACUGUAUACUGACGCUAAGGGACGAAAGCGUGGGGAGCGAACA
rnacentral:rRNA from 1 species